rnacentral:rRNA from 1 species
AGAACAUCAGGUAAAGGAUGUAACUAUCCGCCAUGGGAGGAGCCUGCGUCCUAUCAGCUUGUUGGUGGGGUAAUGGCCUACCAAGGCUAUGACGGGUAGCUGGUCUUGAAAGGACGGCCAGCCACAGUGGCACUGAGACACGGGCCACACACCUACGGGUGGCAGCAACCAGGAAUCGUGCGCAAUGGGCGAAAGCCUGACGCCGCGACGCCGCGUGGAGGAUGAAGGCCCUCGGGUCGUAAACUCCUUUUGGUCCCGCACAUGCGGGGCAGAAUAAGUACCUGCUAACUACGUGCCAGAAGCCUCGGUAAUACGUAGGGUACAAGCGUUAUCCAGAUUUACUGGGCGUAAAGCGUUCGUAGGCGGUUCGGUAAGUUACGGGUGAAAUCCUCCGGCUCAACCGGGGAACUGCUCGUAAAACUACCGUGACUAGAGGGAUAUCGGAGAGACUGGAACUGCUGGUGUAGUAGUUAAAUGCGUUGAUAUCAGCAGGAACACCAAGAGCGAAGGCAGGUCUCUAGGUAUUUUCUGACGCUGAGGGACGAAAGCUAGGGGAGCGAAAGGGAUUAGAGACCCCUGUAGUCCUAGCCGUAAACGAUGGAUGCUAGAUGUGGGGUUCGAUUUAUCGAGCUCCGUGUCGCAAGCUAACGCAUUAAGCAUCCCGCCUGGGGAGUACGGCCGCAAGGCUAAAACUCAAAGGAAUUGACGGGGAGGCGCACAACCAGUGGAGCGUGUGGUUCAAUUCGAUACAAAGCGAAAAACCUUACCUAGGUUUGACAUUCCGAUGAAAAUUCGAGGAAACUCGGACCCUCCGCAAGGACAUCGGAACAGCUGCUGCAUGGCUGUCGUCAGCUCGUGCCGUGGGGUGUCUCCUUCAGUGGAGUAACGAGCGCAACCCCCAUUUUAUGUUAAAUACACAUAAGAGACUGCCCCGCGAAGAGCGGGGAGGAAGGGGGGAUGAUGUCAAGUCAGCAUGGCGCUUAUACCUAGGGCAACACACACCCUACAAUGGGGCCGACAACGGGUCGCCAAGCCGCAAGGCGGAGCUGAUCCCCCAAACGGCCCCUCAGUUGGGAUUGCGGGCUGCAACUCGCCCGCAUGAACCCGGAAUUGGUAGUAAUCGCGGAUCAGCAUGCCGUGGUGAAUACGUUCUCGCCUCUUGUACACACCGCCCGUCAAGCCAGCAAAGUCGGCAGCACCCGAAGGCUCCCCUCGUGGGGGACGAAGGUGAGGUCGGCGAUGAGGACUAAGUCGUAACAAGGUA